CGCGUAGGCGGUCUUGCGUGUCAAGUGUGAAAUCUCCGGGCUCAACCCGGAAAGUGCGCUUGAAACUACAGGACUCGAGUCUGGGAGAGGGAAUCGGAAUAUAGGGUGUAGCGGUGAAAUGCGUAGAUAUCGGGAGGAACACCAGUGGCGAAGGCGGCUUCCUGGCCGGAUACUGACGCUCAAGUGCGAAAGCUGGGGGAGCGAACG
rnacentral:rRNA from 1 species